rnacentral:lncRNA from 13 species
CGUUUUCAUGCAGUGUAUGAGAUCAUCUGUUUCCCCACAUUGGUGCCAUGUUCCAACAGACUGUGUGGUCAAGUUUUCACCUCUUGUCCAUCUAAGAGGUAAGAAAUACUAUGUUUGGCUAGCUUUAAUUUGCAUUUUUCUUGUGCAUGGCAUUGAAUGUCUUUUCACAUUUUGAGGUCCAUGCCUACACCUCUUUCAGUGAACCAUCUAUUCAUGUCUUUUGCUUAUUUUUAAAAACUGAGUUUUUUUGUCUUCAUUCUUGAUUUUUAAGAACUUUUUAUUUUUUUAUUUUUAUUUUUUUUUAAAGAUGGGAUUUCACCGUGAUGGCCAGGCUGGUCUUGAACUCCUGACCUCAGGUAAGACAUCAACUACUUAUCUGUGACAUACAUUAAAAAUAUUUUCUUCCAGCUUCUCUUUUGACUUUACUUUAGAUGUGUGUUACAAAAAGGUUAUGCAUUCAAAUUUACCCGUCUUCUUUAUUACAUUAUGUUUUGAAUCACCAUUAGAAUGGUUUCUCCCAUACUUUAGUCAUACAGGAAUCUAUCCACACUUUCUUCUAGUAUUCACAUGGUUUUGUUGUUAUUUUUACAUUUUUACUUUUAGAUCUCUGGAUAAUUAAUUUAAAUCUGGUAUAGAAAGACGAUUCUCAUUUUAUAAUGGAGAAAAUCUCUCAAGCUCAUAGGAUUCAUGUGAGUUUUUCAAGUUCACACAGACAGUAACAAAAGUAUUUGUUUAAUAUCUCCUAUAAACCAGGCACUAAAGCAUGCAUUUUAAAUUUAUUAUCUUAUUUAAAUACACCUUGUAUUUAUUAUCAAUAAUCUUUUAAUCUUUACCAAAACUCUUUGAUGUAGGUUGUGCUCCUAGCUUACAUAUAAAGUAACUGAGACAUAAAGACCUGAGGUGACAUGUUCAAGUUCACAGGGCAGCAAAAUGAAGGCAGGCAGAGAGAAAAGUACUAUGCGCUAGUUGUCAUUUAAGAAAGAUUUGUAGGAGCUACAAUGAAACAUCUUAACUUACGUCCAAUAGGACACGAUGUAGUCAUGUGACAUAACUAGCUGCAAGGGAGUCUGGGAAAUGUAGUCCUUAUUCUGGGUGUUCAUGUGUCCCACUAAAUUCAUGCAGGCUGUUACCAUGGAAAGAAGGGAGAACAGAUUUUACAUUUCAGCAGGGGUUGGGUAAUUGUAUGAUAUCUUUGGUAAGCAACACAUAAUGGGACCUAGAAAAUUAAGUGUUUAUUGAAUUUAGGGCUCAGAUCCCAGUGCCCCUGAACUUUAACUCCACACACGGGUUCUGUUCAUAGACUGUGGCUCAUGGAUCCAAGGUGUGUAUGCUCAGAACCUGCUUCCAGGUCUUCACUCAUGAUGCCCAUCCCUGCCUUAUCCCUGGAGUUAACCCUCUGUCUCUUUCUGACUUGUAUUUUGUAGGUGUUCAUUCAAGAUAGGGAAGUAUACAAAUCUGUUCAUGUCCCAAGUUGAAAAGUCAAAGAAUGGCCUGUUUCCUAAAGAAGAGAGAUAGACCUAGUAACCUAGUGGAAUAAACUCAAGCUUGUUUUUUGUGUGUUUGUUUUG